UACGAAGGGGGCGAGCGUUGUUCGGAUUUACUGGGCGUAAAGCGUGCGCAGGCGGUUCGUUGUGUCCGAUGUGAAAGCCCCGGGCUUAACCUGGGAAUGGCAUUGGAAACUGGCGGGCUUGAGUGCGGCAGAGGGGGGUGGAAUUCCGCGUGUAGCAGUGAAAUGCGUAGAGAUGCGGAGGAACACCGAUGGCGAAGGCAGCCCCCUGGGUCGACACUGACGCCUCAGGCACGAAAGCGUGGGGAGCAAACAGG
rnacentral:rRNA from 1 species